rnacentral:lncRNA from 1 species
GUCAUAAUUUAUGAACGACUGCCUAGGGCAAAGUUCAAGGUCAAAAACUUUGGUUUCAGUUGACAACCCUGUGUCCUGUGGUGAAGAUCGUGUCCGCUCUAUAUCUUGAGAACCGUUAUGAUUUCAAAGUUUAUACUUGACAUGUUAUAUGAACCAACACCAGAGGGUGUGUCAUAAUUUAUGAACGACUGCCUAGGGCAAAGUUCAAGGUCAAAAACUUUGGUUUCAGUUGACAACCCCAUGUCCUAUGGUAAAGAUCGUGUCCGCUCUAUAUCUUGAGAACCGUUAUCAUUUCAAAGUUUAUACUUGACAUGUUUAUAAACCAACACCAAAGGGUGUGUCAUAAUUUAUUUACAACUUCCUAGGUCAAAGGUCAAGGUCAAAAACUUUGAUUUCAGUUGACAAACCCAUGUCCUAUGGUAAAGAUACAAUUUUUUAAUGCACAUUAUUCACAGCGGGGCCCACAGAGAUGGCUCCCAUCUCAAUGAUAUCUAGUUGAUAUUCAUGUCAACACCGAAAUGUUGACUACUGGGCUGGUUAUACCCUCGGGGACGAAACGUCCACCAGCAGUGGCAUCGACCCAGUGGUGUAAAUAGUUAUCAAAGGUACCAGGAUUAUAAUUUAGUACGCCAGACGCGCGUUUCGUCUACAUCAGACUCAUCAGUGACGCUCAUAUCAAAAUAUUUAUAAAGCCAAACAAGAACAAAGCUGAAGAGCAUUAAGGAUCCAAAAUUCCAAAAAGUGGUGCCAAAUACAGCUAAGGUAAUCUAUGCUAAAACCGGAACUAACAAACUAGCCCAAAAGUUCCAACGAAACUUAUCAACCACGACGAUGAGGAUGAUGAUAAUGACGAUAAGAAUGAUGUUGAGGAUGAUCAUGUGGAUGCACAUAACAAAGAUGAGGAAGAGAGUAUACUCUCAAAACUAAGGACACGUUUCAAUUACAAGAUGAUGAAAGUCGAACAGAUAUAGAAUUGAACGAAGUUGCGCAACUUUUAGCAACCUGGUCCAUCUAGACCAAAAAGAAAAAGAAAUGUUAGAAGGAACAGCGUGUAUGAAUAUUUC